UGGGGAAUAUUGCACAAUGGGCGCAAGCCUGAUGCAGCCAUGCCGCGUGUGUGAAGAAGGCCUUCGGGUUGUAAAGCACUUUCAGCGAGGAGGAAGGGUUCAGUGUUAAUAGCACUGUUCAUUGACGUUACUCGCAGAAGAAGCACCGGCUAACUCCGUGCCAGCAGCCGCGGUAAUACGGAGGGUGCAAGCGUUAAUCGGAAUUACUGGGCGUAAAGCGCACGCAGGCGGUUUGUUAAGUCAGAUGUGAAAUCCCGCGCUUAACGUGGGAACUG
rnacentral:rRNA from 1 species